AGGGCUCUGCUCAGCGUGGGGAUGAUCUAUGAGAUUCUUAGUUUGAAAUCUGAUGCGGAUCUCCUAAAAAGAACUGAUGCAAAUGUUUCUUGAACACAUAACCCUGGAGGUCGGAACCUUGGAGAUUUUCUGAAACUUUAGUCCGAAGCCUGCAAAUGGCUAGCCGGCUAGGCUAAUCAUCGCCCUGAGGAAGUCAAAACCUUGUAUGCGAAUGGGCACCCUGCAUGUUCUAAACCAUCCCUGUUACGAAAUAGUUUGGCCAAAUCACUCGGCGGCGAUAGUGCUGACUUACACUCAUAAGAGUGUUUUUCUUAUGUUCAGUUUUGUUAAAUGUUAUUUGUGCAACAUUGAAUGCGGUAUGCUGCUUCCACAAUAAAAUGUAUGCUCUGCUAUCCAUUCCAUGUCAAAUACUCCCUCUGUCCAGAAUUAUUUUAGUUCUGUGACAAGUAAUUCUGGAUGGAGGGAGUGGUAGUUUUGGAAAAUGCCAAUUGAAUUGGCAUGAACUAAGCAUUUCUGCAUCAGAAAGAGCAUUUGUCCUUGUUCUAACUAGCUGAUACCCGCGCGGCGUGCCUUCGUUAGUAGGACCUUGUGUUGUUUUCCGUAUAAUUUGUGAACUUUUACGUGUUUAUAUAUCUUUUGUUUGAUUCAGCCUUUUCUUUGUUUCUAUUGAUAUGUUGUUUACUUCCUUUUUAGGGGGGAUUUUGUUUACUAGUUGUAUGAAUUGUGGGAAAUAGUAUUGUAUCAAGUUUAUUGCUUUAUCCAAAUUACACUGUCCACAGAGAAGAGAAAAACAAAAUCACACCCACCUGAAUGAUACCUAUGCUCAGCAGUGAUUCGAGGCAGAGCAUCCAAAAGUCAAAGCGACAAAAAUGUGGACAUCAGCAAGGGGUAAAAUAAGACUUGCAGAUCCAGUAAAUAUUAAUUCCAAAUGUAUUGAUGUUCAGCCUAUCCAAGCAAAGUCAUGAUGCUCAUAUGCGUGUGUAGUGCACAAUACAUGUUUCAGAAUGGAAGGAUUUCCCUGUCUAGCCAGUGAACACCGAGGACUUAACCCAACAUUUACACUAUUGGUUAUGACAUCAAUGGCAGGCAAAAUCUCACUACAGCAACAGAAAGAAACUAGAUUUGGUGAGGUCUUAAUAGAAGUGGUUAUGCAUUUUAAACAGAGAGGAACUGUUAUUACGACAUGAAGGUCUAAAUCUGUAUAUCUGACAAGGAUAGUUAGGAUUUUUUUUAUGGCAAGCACAACCACAAUAGCAAGCUCCUUAUCCUGCAAUCUCAUAAUAUUUGCUGUGACACAAAAAAGGUUCAAAGUUGCAAUAGAAGGCCAAAAGGAAACAUUGAAAUAGGAAGCCUCACCAAAUAUAAUGUAUAAGGUAAUGUGUACUGCUUGAUUAGCUAUGUGCCUGUGGCAUUCCUGUAGAUGUAAUAGGUGUAGUUAUUACAUUGCAAAAUGGUCAAAUUAUCAAAAUAAUUAUUUGAACCUAUACACAGCAAAAUAAGUGGUGAAUAUGUUAAUCCACAUGUACACAUUAGUAGCUAGUGCAUGACACAAGACCAAGCUGAUCCUACUUCAGUAGCUAGUGUAUGAUACAAAGUCAACCAUGGUACUACAAAGCUAAACCUACAGAAGCUUUUUAGCGAUGCAUAACCUGAAUACUAAUAUCAACAUUAUGCUCACUUCAUUAGCUGUAGCUUGAUGUCUCAGGCUCAUCUUCAGCGAAGAUAAUGUCCAUAUGUCAGUGUAUACAUCAAUUUAAUUAUGAAUACAGUUUCAUUAUCCAUGGCCAUUCUAAAUUUAUGCUGCAACCUCUAAAUUUAUGCAGCAAGCCUUUUGAUUUUUACAUCAAGAGUUCAUUAUACCGGAAGGUCUGAACUCAUAUAUGACAAUUUCAAAUUCAUUACCCAGGGCCAAUCUGGAUUGUAUGCGUUGCAAAACAACACCCCAUGUCUUCAGACUACACAUUACACCCGAACCUUCAAUGAGUUCACAUCAAUUGACAAUCAAUUGCAAAAAAAUUUGGAAGCAAAAAUACAUCAUAUGUAGCAAUAGCAACAGGCAAAUGUAUAAAAUUCUCACAGGAUAGGAAAAAAAGGGGAAUGGCACCAGGGCAGGAGGAGUCGGGCUUCAGUACCAGCGUCGUUGCCGGCGGCAUACUGGAAGACCCUGAUCUGGGAAGCUACACGCAGCAGGACAACUGGAGUAGGAGCAUUGCGUGUACUGGGCUCUCUUAAAAACGAAGAAGAAAGCCAGACCGGGGCGGAGAGGCAGCUAGAGGAGGGCGGAGGCCAUCAGGGGCCGACAUGGGUAGGGAUGGGUCGAGGCACCAAGGGAGGAGGCCUUGUGGAAGUCUGUACACGGCUACAUCCAUAGUUCAUGUGUUCUUGUGGAAAGGACGACGUUGCGGGGGAGCCGCGCAGGUCAGGGAGUGGGAACCGGAGGCCGCGGCCGGCCAGCGAGCAUAAGCAGAACCCCAGGCGCUCCUCUGGUAGGGCUACGGGCGCGGCGCCUGCGCCGGCCACGACGGAGGUCUGCUGACAUGCACUGCCGUCUAUGGGGCCUCUCGCUCGCUUCCUUCUUACUCUUCACUUUCGACCGACCGAGAGAGGGAGAGAGAGAGAGAGAGAGCUAUUUGGAAGGGGAGUAGAGCCUGAUCGAGAGAUUCACGGCGCAAAAAAAAAAUUGAGAGGCAGUCGUCGGCAUCACAGGACCACCUCUGCUCUUCCCCGUCUCUUUCUCUCCUCCACGACUUCUCCUUUUCCUCGUCUCCGGCUCGGGCCACUGCUUGCUGUCUCCCAUACCGCCGUUCACCACCGAUGUCGGCGCCUGGUACACAGCAGGGAUGGGAUGUUUGCCGUUGCCAUCCAUGUGGGCAAGAGCAGCGGAGUAGGCAGAUGGGGGAGGUGUGGUGGCGCACGCGGGGGACUUAGGUAGUGGCGGCUCGCCCCAGCCGUCAACAUUGAGCAGGAGAAGAGGUCAGCCAACCCCACUUGAGGCAUCCGUGCGCAGGAUGCCAUCCACAACGCUGUGGCGAUGGACAUGGGGGCGGAAGUGGGGUGGCGGUGGUGUAGCUGGGAAGAAGCAGGUGCGGCGGUUGGGGAGGAACGGGGCAAUGGUGGAGCCAUUUUAUAAGCUCGUAUAGCAGUGGGGCGGCGUGGAUAUGCCUGGAGAGAGAACCGGACACGUGAAGAGAAUCGAGAGGAGGUUAGAAACCGACUAAAGUAUCUGCAUCAAGUGAAGCGGAGGACGUGCGUCCAAAGUCAUGGUUGGCAGCAAGAUGCACACACAGGUUGUACCCCUCCUGGUCCCCAGAAUUACACAUGUCCUCUCUUAAUUCAGCCAGAGGCCAAAAAAAAACCUCCCAAAAAAGGAGAAAAAAGGAUUCAUACGGGUGAUUGAGAAUUACCUUGUAUGGGAAUGAGUAUGGGACAUUUAAUUAAGCAGGUUGAUCUGUGCUUUCAUGCAUUCACUUAUGGGACGGUGUAUCUGUAAAGCUAGGGAGAAAAAUAGCCUUAUUAAGUCCUAGCUUGAUGUGAUGAGUGCACAAAACCAGGAGUUACUCAAGCCUCUGGGAAUGUCUUAUUACGUCCUGCGUUCUGGUGUGAGUGUGGUCACGUCUCUUUGGGAGAGCAUUUAAUUUUUUCAAGGUUAUAAAGUAGCAUGGCAUUGGCCAUUUGAGAAGCAGAGCAACAAACGCCAAGUUUGUCCAUAU